AACGGAGGAGCACGAAGGUUGGCUAAUCCUGGUCGGACAUCAGGAGGUUAGUGCAAUGGCAUAAGCCAGCUUGACUGCGAGCGUGACGGCGCGAGCAGGUGCGAAAGCAGGUCAUAGUGAUCCGGUGGUUCUGAAUGGAAGGGCCAUCGCUCAACGGAUAAAAGGUACUCCGGGGAUAACAGGCUGAUACCGCCCAAGAGUUCAUAUCGACGGCGGUGUUUGGCACCUCGAUGUCGGCUCAUCACAUCCUGGGGCUGAAGUAGGUCCCAAGGGUAUGGCUGUUCGCCAUUUAAAGUGGUACGCGAGCUGGGUUUAGAACGUCGUGAGACAGUUCGGUCCCUAUCUGCCGUGGGCGCUGGAGAACUGAGGGGGGCUGCUCCUAGUACGAGAGGACCGGAGUGGACGCAUCACUGGUGUUCGGGUUGUCAUGCCAAUGGCACUGCCCGGUAGCUAAAUGCGGAAGAGAUAAGUGCUGAAAGCAUCUAAGCACGAAACUUGCCCCGA
rnacentral:rRNA from 1 species